UAAACACAAAACACAAUGUGGCUGGCUGGCUGGGCUUAUCUCCUCAGCACAAGUGUUUUCUUUUACACUCUCAUCCGAUAGUCGUUUACUCUUCAAUCCUCCUCCUUCAUUCCCACACUCCAAAUUUUUCUUCAUUUUUUUUUCUUUCUGAAAAACAAGAAAAGGUUAAAACUAAAUAAACCAAAAAAUUUCAGUUUUAGAAUUCCAAGAUAUCCGGGAAUGAGCGUAUCUCGCUAGCUAGACUCAUUCCAGCCAACUCUGAAUCCAAUUCCCAUUUCCAGAUCCAAAUCCCAUUGUUUUCCAAAUUAACAAGAGGAACUACAAAAUUGAACAUUUCUCUUUAACAAAAAUUACGAAAGAGAUAAAAAAA